AAUUACAGCUGUCAGGUCUAAUAUACAGAUUUGCCGUUAUAAUCGAAUUUCGCAUGUAGAGUUUCACAUUCUGAGGUCAAAUUGGUGGUUCCACUUUUCCUAGAUGGGAUUUUUCACCUCAAAGCUGUCCUUUUGCACAGUAGGUAGCUCUACUUUGGACAUGUCUUGGGGAACAUUGUGUUGUCAAUUACAGGAUGCUCAUUGGGUACCAUGGUGAUGUCCAACAGCAAUAUCAGCCUGACCAUGACACCUUCUCAAAUAUUGCCUCAGUUAAACAGCAGAUCUACUCUCCAGUCCCUGGGCUCGAACCCCAGCAGGGACAUCAUAGACAUGCCAUACAGCGGUGGACCCCACUGUCCAUUGUGGGAACGACAUCCUGAUGUUCACAUUCCAGAAACAGGACACUCCAAACUUCUUAAUUGACAGAUUGGACGUCCCUGCCUCUCCUCUGGCCCGGUCCCCAGUCAGCCUCUCCGCUGGCCCUGUCCCACCUCCUUUCGGGCUAAGGCCUCAAACUGAAGACCUCAGACAGAGGCAGUCCUGAUGGUACACUACAAUGGAUGCUUUGUUCACCAGGAGGGGACAGACUACAUUGUCACGGCUGUAUCACAACCGGCCGUGAUUGGGAGUCCCAUAGAGUGGCGCACAAUGGCCCAGCAUCGUCCGGGUUUUGCUGGUGUAGGCCGUCUUUGUAAAAAAUAAUUUGUUCUUAACUGACUUUCCUAGUUAAAUAAAGGUUAAAA